GGGCCCGCACAAGCGGCGGAGCAUGCGGCUUAAUUCGAUGCAACGCGAAGAACCUUACCUGGGCUUGACAUGCAGGGUGAAACCCGUGAAAGCGGGCGCUCUUCGGAGCCUGCACAGGUGGUGCAUGGCUGUCGUCAGCUCGUGCCGUGAGGUGUUGCCUUAAGUGGCGCAACGAGCGCAACCCCUGUCCUUAGUUGCCAGCGGAUCAUGCCGGGAACUCUAGGGAGACUGCCGGUGCCAAACCGGAGGAAGGUGGGGAUGAGGUCAAGUCAUCAUGCCCCUUAUGUCCAGGGCUGCACGCAUGCUACAAUGCGCGGUACAGAGGGCUGCGAUCCCGUAAGGGGGAGCGAAUCCCACAAAGCCGUGCUCAGUUCGGAUCGAGGUCUGCAACCCGACCUCGUGAAGUCGGAGUCGCUAGUAAUCGCGGAUCAGCAAUGCCGCGGUGAAUACGUUCCCGGGCCUU
rnacentral:rRNA from 1 species